rnacentral:rRNA from 1 species
GAUGAACGCUGGCGGCGUGCCUAAUACAUGCAAGUCGAGCGAACAGACGAGGAGCUUGCUCCUCUGACGUUAGCGGCGGACGGGCGAGUAACACGUGGAUAACCUACCUAUAAGACUGGGAUAACUUCGGGAAACCGGAGCUAAUACCGGAUAAUAUAUUGAACCGCAUGGUUCAAUAGUGAAAGACGGUUUUGCUGUCACUUAUAGAUGGAUCCGCGCCGCAUUAGCUAGUUGGUAAGGUAACGGCUUACCAAGGCAACGAUGCGUAGCCGACCUGAGAGGGUGAUCGGCCACACUGGAACUGAGACACGGUCCAGACUCCUACGGGAGGCAGCAGUAGGGAAUCUUCCGCAAUGGGCGAAAGCCUGACGGAGCAACGCCGCGUGAGUGAUGAAGGUCUUCGGAUCGUAAAACUCUGUUAUUAGGGAAGAACAAAUGUGUAAGUAACUAUGCACGUCUUGACGGUACCUAAUCGGAAAGCCACGGCUAACUACGUG